UGCAAACUGCAAACAUUUCAAUUGGAGUAAGCGAACUUUCGCAAAGGCAAAAAUUUCCACGACGAAUGAACAGGAACACACACGAACAAGAAAACGAUGACGACGUUGUUGUUGGCAGUAUGUAUGUAUGUAUAUACAUUUAUAUAUGUGUGUGUAUUUAGGAACUUCUUUUUAAGCUAUUGAACGAAUUUAGAGCGAAGCACAAAAACGUAAUGAAAACGACACCACAAGCACAACAAUUUAUGAGACGAAAACUUUACUGCUGCUGCUGCUUCCUUUUAUUUAUUAUUAUUAUUAUUUUUUUUUUUAUGUAAUUUGUUUGGCCUUUUGCGGUGUAUUAUUUAAUCGCACAGAGAGCAAAGCGCGAACACAUAUAUUGAUAAUCAAAACAUACAUACACACACAAGUUUGGGGCGUUUCGCAUGUAUAUAUGAGUGUGUGUGUGUGUGUUUUUGUGUGCGUGCGUCUGUUUUGAGCGAAACGCGUGCACAAUCGAAACGAAACGAAACGUCCGGUUUCAAAGCGUCACAAAAACUAAUCAGAAGUGAAAAGCACAAAAUGAUGUGGGCCCCAACAAGCCAGCAGCAGGCAGCCGCAGCCGCAGCACCAGCGCACGAGAGAGCUCCGAAUAGACCAACAGCAAGUGAGAGAGCGAGCCGAGUCAAGUCGAGCCGAUUCGAUGUUAUAUGCAUAAUGGGGCCAAAGCAGCGCAGCCGCCGCUCAAUGAGAUUUGUGGUUAUUGUUGUUGCUCGGCUCGGUUGCUUCUGGCGCCUUCAAUUUUUUUUUUUUUUCUUUACAAGGCGAACAAGUUGUGCGUCAGGUCGUGAGAGCAAACAGAGGCAGAGAGAGAGAGAGAGAGAGAGAGAGCGCAAGCGAGCGAGCGAAUGCACACAAGAGAACGAACCUAAGCGCCUGGUAAUUGUAGGUUUUAAUGCUUCAUAAUUGUUGUUGUUGCUGUCUGUAUAUAUGUAUGUACAUACAUACAUAUGUAAUAGUGUCUAGGUUUUGCCGUAGACAUAAAUGGCAUCCACAUAACAAUGCCCGCCGACCCCUUGCAGCUAAAUGCUGCCUUCCACAACAAUUCAAUCCACACAGAGGAAGAGAGAGAGAGAGAGAGAGAGCGCGCGCCAGCAAACGGUUUGUUUUCGUUGCUCUUUUUCUGUUUUUGUUUUAAAGAGGCACCCGCAUUCCUAACUGUAAACAAGCAAGAAGAAGAAUGCAUGCGCUGCCGCUGCCUGGAAAAACUCGUUUUUCCCGCUGGAAAAAUGUGUGCACACACACAAACACACGUGAAAUACACAGCAACAAAAAAACAACACAAAAAGAAUUUAAAGAAUUUGUAGCCCACAAGAGAGCGCGUAAAACGACGUCGACUUCGAGAUGUAAAAAUAAACAACAAAACUCGGGUGGAAAAACACGAAGCAUACACGCAUACACACACACUCAUGGAUACGCACACGCAUAUCGAGCGUGCAUAGGUAGACGAGACAAGGACAAGGAAGCGGAGAACAAAACAAAAUGUAUGUGUGUGCGUGUGUAUGUGUUGAACGAAAACGAAGGCAAAAGACAAGACACAACACAGGAGACAAUAAUAACACUACUAAAAGCAACAACAACGACUGGGAAAAAGCCUGUAGUAAACAAAACAAAUGGCGGGCGCGGCUGCGACGGCAACUGAGACGCCGACGGCGACGUCAACGUCAAU